UGGAUUAGACGCGGGUGGUGGUGAACUUGUUGGUGGACUAGACGCUGGUGGUGAUGAACUUGUUGGUGGAUUAGACGCUGGUGGUGAUGGUGGUGGUGAACUUGUUGGUGGUUUAGACACUGGUGGUGGAGGUGGUGAACUUUUUGGUGGAUUAGACACUGGUGGUGGAGGUGAAAUAGUAGGAGGAUUGGAUACUGGUGGUGGAGGAGAUGAGGAAUUGGCAGCUGGUGGGCCGGGAGAGGGUGCACUCAUUGGUGGAACAGGCGCUGGAGGUGAUGGAGACGUAGAAUUGGAGGGUGGUGG
rnacentral:lncRNA from 1 species